GCAGAAUUUUUCAAUUAAGUCUAAAUAGUUCUCUUUAUAUUUUAUAUAUUCUGAUAUGGCUGAAUUUGAUGAAUUAUCCUUUCCUUGGUGUUUAAAUGUUCAAGAUCUGGAUCCAAAUCAUACGGAUCAAGCGUAGCAUUGGAGAGUUUGUUUGCAAGUCGUCAUAAGCUAGUUUAGUUUCGUGGAGAACCAGACGACAUUUAAAAUCCACAAUAUUGUUGUCAGUACACUACACCGGAGAUUUGAGGAGAUUGGGUGAUUUAUUGUGCUUUUACUGGUAACUUGUGUGCAUUUUUACAAACAAUUUUAUCUGCAUACUGUUAUUGGAGUUCAGAUGAGGGUUCUGGGGAACUCGUGGUGGUAAUGGAUGAAUGGGUAGGAUUAUUGCAUUGAAUCAUUUAGCAUGCUAUACUCAAAUGUUGUAAUGCCAUGACAAAUUGGUUGAUCUGUUUAAUAAAUGAAUGUUUGUUUGAUUGAUUAAA